rnacentral:lncRNA from 1 species
UCAGCCUGGAUCAGCCUGGAGGUGUUGUCAAGGGUUUCAACACCAAGUGGCCCUCUCCAACAGCCUGAAUCCUUCCUACAACAUCCCCCAGCCUCCCUGGGUGGUGCCAGUGACCAGGAACUCUGCCCUUUGCAGGCAGGUCAUUCCUCCUUGGCCAGCUGUUACUCUCACCCGACCCUCCGCGUGAUUGUGGUGGGGCAGGCUGUGGCAGAAGGGGGGCGGGGGCAGGGCACAGCCCUGGGGCUCCUUACUCACAAGCGGGUGCUCUGUCUCCCACUCUUGGCUGCCCCCACAGUGCCAUAUGCUCCUGCAGCAGCUGGGAUUCCUUUUGAAAAAUAUGUUCAUCUCAGGCAAGUCCCAAAGUGGACAGAGAUGAUAUAUAUGUUCUUUGCUGGCCCAGGAAGAGCAGGUAGGGGGAGCUCCUGACAUUUCUGGGAUUCCAAGGGAAGGAAACAUGUUACACUGUCUCAUUUCCUCCCCCAGCCCUGUUCUCUCCCAAGCAGGUGGGAAGCAUGGAAAAUUUUUUGUGUCUCUCACUUCCUUCCUAGAGCCCCUUCACAUCUAGUUCCUCCAGGCUGCUGAUGGCUGAUAAACUCCUCCACUAGGAGAUAAUAGAGAUUCAAAGUGUUGCCCCUCCCGGGAGAAUUUACAUAUUAAGUCAGGCUCUGCUUGAGGAGAAGGCUUAAUCUAGGGUCCAGAAGCUGGACAUCACGGACUUUCAGGAUGACAGGGAGAGAUGGGGAGUGGGAAUCAAAGAUGCUUUCUGGGGGGUCCUUAGCUCCUCCCUGAAUGGGGCAAGAAGGCUGAGGUGGAGGUGGGGGCAUUAUCUGGGAGGGGAGGCACAUAACAAGGAGCCUGGACACAUCACUGAGGGUUGGGGGCUGCCCUCUCCACCGGGCACUGAUGGCAGGGCUGUCCCCAGCCAGGUAUAUCCUGCAGAGAUCAAUCACCUCUCCCUAUUUGUUGCUAAAUCCCAGAGAACAGAAACUAAGAUGUUCAACACUAAUCCACACCUGAACCAACCAACCACCACGACCCACUACGGACCAUCCUCCUUCACCCCUCCGCAAAACACACCCUCAUCUCACUGACUUGGGCCCCCUCUUGAA